rnacentral:rRNA from 1 species
CUGGCUCAGAAUCAACGCUGGCGGCGCGCCUAACACAUGCAAGUCGCACGAGAAAGUGGAGCAAUCCAUGAGUAAAGUGGCGUACGGGUGAGUAACACGUGGAUUAUCUACCUCUUAGUGGGGAAUAACCCUGGGAAACCGGGGCUAAUACCGCAUAAGCUCGAGAGAGGAAAGCAGCAAUGCGCUGAGAGAGGAGUCCGCGGCCGAUUAGCUAGUUGGUAGGGUAAAAGCCUACCAAGGCAAAGAUCGGUAGCCGGCCUGAGAGGGCACACGGCCACACUGGCACUGAAACACGGGCCAGACUCCUACGGGAGGCAGCAGUGGGGAAUCUUGCACAAUGGGGGAAACUCUGAUGCAGCGACGCCGCGUGAGCGAUGAAGCCCUUCGGGGUGUAAAGCUCUUUCGGCAGGGAAGAUUAUGACGGUACCUGCAGAAGCAGCUGCGGCUAACUACGUGCCAGCAGCCGCGGUAAUACGUAGGCAGCAAGCGUUGUUCGGAGUUACUGGGCGUAAAGGGUGUGUAGGCGGUUGCUUAAGUUUGGUGUGAAAUCUCCCGGCUCAACUGGGAGGGUGCGCCGAAUACUGAGUGACUCGAGUGCGGGAGAGGAAAGUGGAAUUCCUGGUGUAGCGGUGAAAUGCGUAGAUAUCAGGAGGAACACCGGUGGUGUAGACGGCUUUCUGGACCGUAACUGACACUGAAACACGAAAGCGUGGGUAGCAAACAGGAUCAGAUACCCUGGUAGUCCACGCCCUAAACGAUGCACAUUUGGGUGUAGGUCGUUCAGUCGAUCUGUGCCGGAGCUAACGCGUUAAAUGUGCCGCCUGGGGAG